GCCUGGCUGGCUCAGUCAGUGGAGCGCAUGACUCUUGGUCAUGGGGUUGUGGGUUUGAGCCCCACUUUGGGUG
rnacentral:tRNA from 1 species